rnacentral:rRNA from 1 species
GAUGAACGCUGGCGGCGUGCCUAAUACAUGCAAGUCGAGCGAACAGAUGAGAAGCUUGCUUCUCUGAUGUUAGCGGCGGACGGGUGAGUAACACGUGGGUAACCUACCUAUAAGACUGGGAUAACUCCGGGAAACCGGGGCUAAUACCGGAUAAUAUUUUGAACCGCAUGGUUCAAUAGUGAAAGACGGUUUCGGCUGUCACUUAUAGAUGGACCCGCGCCGUAUUAGCUAGUUGGUAAGGUAACGGCUUACCAAGGCGACGAUACGUAGCCGACCUGAGAGGGUGAUCGGCCACACUGGAACUGAGACACGGUCCAGACUCCUACGGGAGGCAGCAGUAGGGAAUCUUCCGCAAUGGGCGAAAGCCUGACGGAGCAACGCCGCGUGAGUGAUGAAGGUCUUCGGAUCGUAAAACUCUGUUGUUAGGGAAGAACAAAUUUGUUAGUAACUGUACAAGUCUUGACAGUACCUAACCAGAAAGCCACGGCUAACUACGUGCCAGCAGCCGCGGUAA